CCUACGGGGGGCAGCAGUGAGGAAUAUUGGUCAAUGGACGCAAGUCUGAACCAGCCAUGCCGCGUGCAGGAUGACGGCUCUAUGAGUUGUAAACUGCUUUUGUACGAGGGUAAACCCCGAUACGUGUAUCGUGUUGAAAGUAUCGUACGAAUACGGAUCGGCUAACUCCGUGCCAGCAGCCGCGGUAAUACGGAGGAUCCGAGCGUUAUCCGGAUUUAUUGGGUUUAAAGGGUGCGUCGGCGGUUUGAUAAGUUAGAGGUGAAAUGUCGGGGCUCAACCCCGAAACUGCCUCUAAUACUGUUGGACUAGAGAAUAGUUGCGGUAGGCGGAAUGUAUGGUGUAGCGGUGAAAUGCUUAGAGAUCAUACAGAACACCGAUUGCGAAGGCAGCUUACCAAACUAUAUCUGACGUUGAGGCACGAAAGCGUGGGUAGCAAACAGGAUUAGAUACCCCUGUAGUC
rnacentral:rRNA from 1 species